rnacentral:lncRNA from 1 species
CUAAAAUGCAUAUCUCCCAGUUUUUAAGUAUUCAGUCUGCCCUGUAUAAUAGGAGCUGUUUGUUAUCAAAAGGUACUUUCCUUGUUAGUCAAACUUCAUCCCAAGGUUAAAGCACACCUGAACACAGUGGGCUAAACUAACUCAUUGUGUAAAGUAAGAGGGAGUGCUCCUUGAAAUGUAUUUCUUGCUUAAAAGCUGCACGUUGUGUGCCACCUCAAGGCUUGUUGUUCUCUUCCUUAGCUUGGAUACCACUCACACAUUAUUCUUUCUGAUGCAGAAUGUCUGUUUCGUAACAUCUUUCCAUGAAAAGCUAGAACAUCAGUGCUUGCUCCUGGAAAAGCAUCAAGCGUACGGAGCCAGACUAAAGGUUCUUCUUGCCUUGAAUCAUCUCUUCAUAGGUGUUAGAUGUGGAUGCCCAAGGAUGAGGUAAGUGAGCAGUGAUGCCCUUCAGCUUCACGGGCUCCAUGGCUGUGAUACUUCCUGAACCAGAGAUG